GGGGGCGCUCCGGUUUCGACGUGGGUCGCAAAGCAGUUCAGUGCAUGCCGAGGCCCAGUUACCUCGUAAAUCCACUGGAAAUCGACAGUCGCCAACGACGACCGUUACGCUCUCGCGGCUUAAUCCCCGCGGGACUCUGCACCGGUAUGGCCUAGGGCCGGCUAGCGCAAGCUAGAGCAGAGUCAUUUACUAGGUCUAGCGUCGUCUCGGGUCACUUGAGCCGACGUUAAAUCCAAGGUGACUCGCUUCACGUCAGCUUGCCGGUCGGCGGGCGUGCGGUCAGUACAAAUGAUCAGGCUAAGCAUGUAGGGCUGGCUGUGGAGGGCUUACGGACGCGGGUUCGAUUCCCGCCGCCUCCACAA
rnacentral:tmRNA from 1 species